rnacentral:rRNA from 1 species
UACGAGGGGGGCAACUGUUGUUCGGAAUCACUGGGCGUAAAGGGAGCGUAGGCGGGUUUUUAAGUCAGGUGUUUAAUCCCGGGGCCCAACCCCGGACCGGCACUUGAAACUGGGAAUCUUGAAUAGGGGAGAGGUCAGUGGAAUUGGGGGUGUAGCGGUGGAAUGCGUAGAGAUCCCCAAGAACACCAGUUGCGAAGGCGGCUGACUGGACCCAUAUUGACGCUGAGGCUCGAAAGCAUGGGGAGCAAACAGG